rnacentral:rRNA from 1 species
UACGAAGGGGGCUAGCGUUGUUCGGAAUCACUGGGCGUAAAGCGCACGUAGGCGGAUCUUUAAAGUCAGGGGGUGAAAUCCCGAGGCUCAACCUCGGAACUGCCUUUGAUACUGGGGAUCUCGAGUCCGGGAGAGGUGAGUGGAACUGCGAGUGUAGAGGUGAAAUUCGUAGAUAUUCGCAAGAACACCAGUGGCGAAGGCGGCUCACUGGCCCGGAACUGACGCUGAGGUGCGAAAGCGUGGGGAGCAAACAGG